UACAGAGGGUGCAAGCGUUGUUCGGAAUUAUUGGGCGUAAAGCGCGUGUAGGCGGCUUUGCAAGUCGGGUGUGAAAGCCCUCAGCUUAACUGAGGAAGUGCGCCCGAAACUGCAGAGCUUGAGUACCGGAGAGGAUGGUGGAAUUCCAGAAGUAGAGGUGAAAUUCGUAGAUAUCUGGAGGAACACCGGUGGCGAAGGCGACCAUCUGGACGGAUACUGACGCUGAGACGCGAAAGCGUGGGGAGCAAACAGG
rnacentral:rRNA from 1 species